UACGUAGGGUGCGAGCGUUAAUCGGAAUUACUGGGCGUAAAGCGUGCGCAGGCGGUUUUGUAAGCCAGAUGUGAAAUCCCCGGGCUUAACCUGGGAAUGGCAUUUGGGACUGCAAGGCUUGAGUGCGGCAGAGGAGACUGGAAUUCCUGGUGUAGCAGUGAAAUGCGUAGAUAUCAGGAGGAACACCAGUGGCGAAGGCGGCCUUCUGGACCAGUACUGACGCUCAUGCACGAAAGCGUGGGGAGCAAACAGG
rnacentral:rRNA from 1 species